CCGAAAUAUAUUUAGGUAUAGGCUCAUGAUUAGGCUGAUGGGGGUAGAGUACUGGAUGAAUUUUUUGGUCGCAAGAUCAAAAAUUUAACCAAACUCCGAAUACCGUCAGUUCGUGCAUGGGACUCAGUAUGGCGGAGCUAAGUUCGCCAGGCGAGAGGGAAACAUCCCAGACUUUCGUCUAAGGUCUCUAAAUAUUCCUCAGUGGGAAAGAUAGUCUUGGUCCCCAAACACCUAGGAGGUCGGCUCAGAAGCAGCCAUCCUUGAAAGAAAGCGUAACAGCUCACUAGCCGAGGAUCAGGGCGUCGAAAACGUAUCGAGGCUUAAGGAAUAUACCGAAGACAAAGAUUUAUAUAUUUUCGUAAGAAAUUAUGUGAGUGGUAGGGGAGCGUUCCGGGUGCUGUGAAGGCGGCGAGAAAUCGAUCUGCUGGAGCGACCGGAAGUGCGAAUGCCGGUAUGAGUAGCGUACAUGAAGUGAGAAUCUUCAUCUCCGAAUGUUCAAGGUUUCCGCACCCACGUUUGUCGUGUGCGGGUAAGGCGACCCUUAGGCGAGGCCGAAUGGCGUAGCUGAUGGAUAACCAGUUGAUAUUCUGGUCCUUGAUAACAAUCGUUAUGACUUGGGGAGGGACGGAUUUGGAUACUGCGUGCGCUCUGUCGAAGAUAGAGCCGCACAAGCAACGAGAUAAUGUCUGUUGGCAAACCCGCAGAUAUGUUUAAUCGAAUUGUGAUGUGGAGUCUGUUCCGCAAGGAACGGGCAAGACGCAGGACUUCAGGUUCCUAGAAAAGCUUCGCAAGCAGAGUGUUAUUAAAUCGUACCGAUAACCGACACAGGUGAACUGGCCGAGAAGGCUAAGGAGAACGAGAGACAAUGGUUUAAGGAAUUCGGCAAAACAGCUGGGCGUACCCUUGGUAUAUGCCCUUCUCUCCGCAAGGAGAGGCGCAGCGAAAGACUGGAGACUGACUGUUUAACAAAAACACAGGUCCGUGCAAACUCGAAAGAGGACGUAUACGGGCUGAAACCUGCCCAGUGCCGGAAGG
rnacentral:rRNA from 1 species